AAGAGUUAAACUCUCUUAGUUUCUG
rnacentral:ncRNA from 2 species